CAGUUCGGACUGUGGCCUGCAACCCGACCACACGAAGCUGGAAUCGCUAGUAAUCGCGAAUCAGAAUGUCGCGGUGAAUACGUUCCCGGGUCUUGUACACACCGCCCGUCACACCAUGGGAGCCAGCAACGCCCGAAGUCAGUGACCUAACCGAAAGGGAGGAGCUGCCGAAGGCGGGGCCGGUAACUGGGGUGAAGUCGUAACAAGGUAUC
rnacentral:rRNA from 1 species